GUGCCAGCCGCCGCGGUAAUACGGAGGGUGCAAGCGUUGUCCGGAAUCAUUGGGUGUAAAGGGUGCGUAGGCGGGAGCCUAAGUCUGUGGUGAAAUCUUGCCGCUUAACGGUAAAAUUGCCAUGGAUACUGGGUUUCUUGAGUACAGAAGAGGUCGGUGGAAUUCGUAGUGUAGCGGUGAAAUGCAUAGAUAUUACGAAGAACACCAGUGGCGAAGGCGGCCGGCUGGACUGUAACUGACGCUGAGGCACGAAAGCGUGGGGAGCGAACAGGAUUAGAAACCCGGGUAGUCC
rnacentral:rRNA from 1 species